UAGCUGACCCUGCUUCCACUGCUGACAAC
rnacentral:piRNA from 1 species